rnacentral:rRNA from 1 species
CCUACGGGGGGCAGCAGUGGGGAAUUUUGGACAAUGGGCGCAAGCCUGAUCCAGCAAUGCCGCGUGCAGGAUGAAGGCCUUCGGGUUGUAAACUGCUUUUGUACGGAACGAAACGGCGAGCUCUAAUAAAGUUCGCUAAUGACGGUACCGUAAGAAUAAGCACCGGCUAACUACGUGCCAGCAGCCGCGGUAAUACGUAGGGUGCAAGCGUUAAUCGGAAUUACUGGGCGUAAAGCGUGCGCAGGCGGUGAUGUAAGACAGAUGUGAAAUCCCCGGGCUCAACCUGGGACCUGCAUUUGUGACUGCAUCGCUAGAGUACGGUAGAGGGGGAUGGAAUUCCGCGUGUAGCAGUGAAAUGCGUAGAUAUGCGGAGGAACACCGAUGGCGAAGGCAAUCCCCUGGACCUGUACUGACGCUCAUGCACGAAAGCGUGGGGAGCAAACAGGAUUAGAUACCCAAGUAGUC